ensembl:lncRNA
UGAUCCAGACACACUGGGAGUAGGGCACAGUCCACACUCACGACCACCGCCAUUUCCACAGACGCCUGGGCUCUCAGGGUCGCUGCCACAGAGAUGCACAUUGCAUUGCACUUUGCUCCAUAAUUCAUACUAAGUUCUUAAAAUAGCGCCCUUCCGACAGUACUCAGUGUUCCGCAAGCUCACUGAAAUAGAAUCAAUGCAUGUGCUUAGAUCCUGAACACAGGCUGAAUAGAAAGCACCAUACGGAACUGGGCUUUGCCUGAGAGGAAAACUACAAAUAUCGACCCCCAGGUACAGGUGAAGAGUCUGGGACUGUGUGAGUGUGUCACACAACAUAAUGUAGCAUCUGAAAAGUCAUGGUUUUGGACCUUUCACUCACAGAAAAUCAUUGUAUGUUGUGCUGUCUUUGAAAGAUGUAAAGCUUGAUAUCACAAGCUGACAUGCCACAGAAUCUGGUCAUCUUUUGGACAUGACUGGUGCGUCAGUCAACCUGUCCUGGAAAAGCUGGUAAUGAUGUUGACAGCGUGGGAGAAAUACAGAAGUUACUGCAGAGUCCCUUUAUUAUCCAUGCCCAAUGAUAACAGGCAUGCAUAGGGGAAACUUCAGGCCAGCCUCUCUGGGGUCCAUGCAAACUCCCCCCUCCGAACCCCCUUGACUGGCAGGCCAACUAAUGGGUCCUGACUGAGGAGAAUCAGCCUCUAUUAAGAGGAAGCAGCAAGUCCUGCCAUAGGCCAGAAGAAAGAGAUGCCAAGCUGUAUUCAAGGAAGAAUUCAAGAGCAUCCUCCACCCAUUCAGUAGACCCUCUCUCACAAGGUCGAAUACUUCCUGCAGGCUGGUCACUCACCACCCGUCACAAAUAAUCUAUAAAUGCAGUCAGAAUAGGAAGAGCUUCAUUAGUAGCGGCACUGGUAUGUUAAAAUGAUUGUCUCAUUCAAGCUGUAUUCCACUGGCCUUCACCACCUUGAUGAAUAAGUAAUGUGUAUUUUUCUCCUCAGUAUUACUAUUUUUAACCGGCUAAAGCUGAUAGCAAAACCCACAAACCAUUUUAUCAAACAUUAAUGACAGGACACUACUGAGAUUAAAUAUCUCCUUUUCAGGUUAAACUUUCAUUAACCUGAAAAGCCUCCACUUUCAGUCAAUAAACC